AUACGGAGGAGGCAAGCGUUGUUCGGAAUUAUUGGGCUUAAAGAGCGUGUAGGCGGCCAAGUAAGUGUCUUGUGAAAUCCCUAGGCUCAACCUAGGAACUGCUCGGCAUACUGCUUGGCUAGAGGUCGGUAGAGGUGACUGGAACUCUAGGUGGAGCGGUGAAAUGCGUAGAUAUCUAGAGGAACGCCGGAGGCGAAAGCGGGUCACUGGGCCGAUUCUGACGCUGAGACGCGAAAGCGUGGGUAGCAAACAGGAUUAGAAACCCGAGUAGUCC
rnacentral:rRNA from 1 species